UACGGAGGGAGCUAGCGUUGUUCGGAAUUACUGGGCGUAAAGCGCACGUAGGCGGCUUUGUAAGUUAGAGGUGAAAGCCCAGGGCUCAACCCUGGAAGUGCAUUCGAUACUGCGAGGCUAGAGUCCCGGAGAGGAUGGUGGAACUCUCGGUGUAGAGGUGAAAUUCGUAGAUAUCGAGAAGAACACCGGUGGCGAAGGCGGCCAUCUGGACGGUGACUGACGCUGAGACGCGAAAGCGUGGGGAGCAAACAGG
rnacentral:rRNA from 1 species